rnacentral:rRNA from 1 species
UACGUAGGGUGCAAGCGUUGUCCGGAAUUAUUGGGCGUAAAGAGCUCGUAGGCGGCUUGUCGCGUCGAAUGUGAAAUCUCAGGGCUCAACUCUGACAUUGCAUUCGAUACGGGCAGGCUAGAGUUCGGUAGGGGAGACUGGAAUUCCUGGUGUAGCGGUGAAAUGCGCAGAUAUCAGGAGGAACACCGGUGGCGAAGGCGGGUCUCGUGGGCCGAUACUGACGCUGAGGAGCGAAAGCGUGGGGAGCGAACAGG